GACGAACGCUGGCGGCGUGCUUAACACAUGCAAGUCGAACGGAAAGGCCCUUCGGGGUACUCGAGUGGCGAACGGGUGAGUAACACGUGGGUGAUCUGCCCUGCACUUUGGGAUAAGCCUGGGAAACUGGGUCUAAUACCGAAUAGGACCACGCGCUUCAUGGUGUGUGGUGGAAAGCUUUUGCGGUGUGGGAUGGGCCCGCGGCCUAUCAGCUUGUUGGUGGGGUAAUGGCCUACCAAGGCGACGACGGGUAGCCGGCCUGAGAGGGUGACCGGCCACACUGGGACUGAGAUACGGCCCAGACUCCUACGGGAGGCAGCAGUGGGGAAUAUUGCACAAUGGGCGCAAGCCUGAUGCAGCGACGCCGCGUGAGGGAUGACGGCCUUCGGGUUGUAAACCUCUUUCAAUAGGGACGAAGCGCAAGUGACGGUACCUAUAGAAGAAGCACCGUCCAACUACGUG
rnacentral:rRNA from 1 species